rnacentral:ribozyme from 1 species
UACAAGUAUGCAAUAAUAAUAAUGAUGAUGACGAAUUGAAAAAAAAAAUGGUGGUCAAAACAACAAACAAUAACCAACAAGCUGUUGUUGUUAUUGGGGCCUUUCUCUUUUCACCCUCCCUUUUUUUUCUUUCCCUCUCCUUUUCCCCCUUCUU